UCUUCUGAGGUUACUUGGUUGGUUUCCGCUGAGCUCAGCUUAGGAGUGAAGGGUUUGGCACUGUCGGAGUUUUUGGCCACCAUUUGGUUGGAUCGGCAGCUUGAAUCGCCACGAUACCCGGCUCAAUGACAAUGAACAAAAUCCUGAUCUGUCUCCUUGUCUGCUGCAUGAUGCUUUUUGAUUCCAUAUUGGAAGCAACGCCAAUGCUUAAUGCAACAAUGCCAACAAAAAAUGGAGCUGCUGGAUUUGCCUCGGCCACUGCCACACUGCUGGUUUUGUCACUUCUUCCAGUCUGCCUGCAGAGAGUUCUCUCGUAACUUGAUGGCCAAAGUCCCUUCAACUCCCUCAUCCGUCACCAUGGAAACCAUUCCAUAAAGUCAACAUUCAUCUUCUGACCCACUCUCAAGCUUCAUUACUGACUGGGGCCUGAUACUCUCUCUUCUACCUGUUCAUUACUGACUGGGGCCUGAUCAUCUCCCACCGGCCCCCCUGCCAACCCUGCCCUGCCCCCACCUCCUCCCUCUCCCCCAUCCUAUCUCUGCCCUUGAUAUCCACUAAUCCUUUCACUCUGGCCUGCUAAGUGAACGGAAUCCACAUAUGUGUUAUUGUUAAGAAGGGAGAAAAAUAAUUAAAGUAAAUAAGAAACCCUGCAAAUUGUGGAAUUGACGCCUGAUUGGAGACCAACAUUCUUAUACUGAUGUUCAUAUACUGUGUCAGCAUUUGGCGUAAUUUUCACAACAAUAAAUGUCUUGAUGCAGUGUC